CAGUGUGUAGUUUAUUUAAAAUAUAAUAUUUGGGUUAUUAAGAUUUUAUCACUGA
rnacentral:tRNA from 2 species